rnacentral:rRNA from 1 species
GUCUUAUUGAUAAUAAUUUUAAGUCAAUCUCUGCCCAAUGAUUUAAUUAAAUGGCUGCAGUAUAAUUGACUGUACAAAGGUAGCAUAAUCAAUUGAUUUUUAAAUGGAAUCUGGAAUGAAAGGAUUAAUGAAAUAUAUACUGUCUCAUAUAUAUAAUAUGAAUUUAAAAUUUUAAUAAAAAUGUUAAAAUUUUUUUUUGGGACGAUAAGACCCUAUAGAAUUUUAUAUAAAGUUUAUUUUAUAUUAAUAUAAAAUUUGUUUUAUAUUUAAUUGGGAGAAUUAUUAAAUUAAAAAAAUUUUGAUUUUUAAAAACUUAGAUUAAAGAAGAUUUAUUGAUUUAGAAUUUUUAAUUAUUAGAAUAAAUUACCUUAGGGAUAACAGCGUAAUAUUUUUUUAUAGAUCUUAUAGAAAAAAAUGAUUGCGACCUCGAUGUUGAAUUAAGAUAAAUUUUAAAUGUAGAAGUUUAAUAAUUAAGUCUGUUCGACUUUUAAAAUCUUACAUGAUUUGAGUUCAAAUCGACGUGAGU